rnacentral:rRNA from 1 species
UAAGGAAUAUUGGGCAAUGGACGCAAGUCUGACCCAGCCAUGCCGCGUGCAGGAUGAAUGCCCUAUGGGUUGUAAACUGCUUUUAGACGGGAAAAAACCCUUCGACGUGUCGGAGGCUGAUGGUACCGUAAGAAUAAGGAUCGGCUAACUCCGUGCCAGCAGCCGCGGUAAUACGGAGGAUCCAAGCGUUAUCCGGAUUUAUUGGGUUUAAAGGGUGCGUAGGCGGAAUUGUAAGUCAGUGGUGAAAUCCUACAGCUUAACUGUAGAACGGCCAUUGAUACUGCAGAUCUUGAGUAUAUUUGAAGUGGGCGGAAUGUGUCAUGUAGCGGUGAAAUGCUUAGAUAUGACACAGAACACCGAUUGCGAAGGCAGCUCACUAAACUAUAACUGACGCUGAGGCACGAAAGCGUGGGGAGCAAACAGG